AUGAGGUUGCACUCCCCCAGCCCCUAUUGCCCUCAGCUGAGCCUCCCUCGUCUCUGGGGCUGCUGUGUGUCUUGGGACAGGAUGAGGAGGAUUUUCAUGGCCACUGUUGCGUUCAUGUGCAGGUUGAGGUUACUCAGGGGUCUCCGCAUGCCUGCCCGCCCAGGUGUCUCCCCAGAGCUUCUCCCCAGCUCCCAGCCCUGCCCCUGCCCCACAGCGGAAGGGCUGAGGCGGGAAAAAGAAAAUGGCCUCCUGAGAGAAACAUGGAGCCCGGUGCUGCUGCGCAGGUUACCAGCUAUGCACGGCACCUCUGAAGUAAAUAAGGCCAAAAAGAGAAGAAGAAAUAGGAUGAAAGCCCACCAAAAUAAAGUACAGGGGAAGCAUGACAUGGCCAUCCCUGAAGAGGCAAGAGAAGUGCUCACACUGGCCUGGCAGAUGGUACAGGGCAGCAGCACACAGGAGGAGCAGCUGCAGCACUUGGAGGAUCACAGCGUCAGGGGAAGAAGCAGCUGAGCAAAAGUGGGUAACGCUGGGGAAAAGAAGAAAAGAUGGAAUCAUUAUGGAUUCUGAAAGAAGUGAAAACAAACAUCCACCACAGAGCACUUGGAAGAACAUAGGAGACCCUGCAGCACAAUUCUGCCAUAACCCACUCAUUCCCGCAAGUUCUGUCUUUUUGAGUGGAAAAUUUGCAUGGCAAUACAGACAAGCCACUGUGAGAUGUUCAGACCUAAGCCUCCAGAUACAAACAAAUCCAACAAAAGAAGACAGCUAGGAAAUGCAUGGUGCUGGAAAGAAAAUCUGGAUGAAUUCUGGUUCCCUGAUGUGCCCAGUCUUCAGGAAAAUUGUGGCUCUAGGUAAGCAUUGGUCCCUGUCCCCAUCUAUUCAGACAUUGGUCCCUAUUGGAGUUUUAUGAAUCAGCUGCAGAAUAGCAACGCUUGUGGUGGUAUUUAGAUGCUGGAAGCUGUGACUAGGUAGACAGUCAGAUUUUUUAAGAUGUCUAUGCAGAGGAGAUGCUUUGUUUCGAUGCAAAUCAGACAGGUCUUUUCCUACUUGGA
rnacentral:lncRNA from 1 species